AUACCCUGGUAGUCCACGCUGUAAACGAUGUCGAUUUGGAGUUUGUUGCCUAGAGUGAUGGGCUCCGAAGCUAACGCGAUAAAUCGACCGCCUGGGGAGUACGGCCGCAAGGUUAAAACUCAAAUGAAUUGACGGGGGCCCGCACAAGCGGUGGAGCAUGUGGUUUAAUUCGAUGCAACGCGAAGAACCUUACCUGGUCUUGACAUCCAUAGAAUUCUGCAGAGAUGUGGGAGUGCCUUCGGGAACUAUGAGACAGGUGCUGCAUGGCUGUCGUCAGCUCGUGUUGUGAAAUGUUGGGUUAAGUCCCGCAACGAGCGCAACCCUUAUUCUUUGUUGCCAGCGAUUUGGUCGGGAACUCAAAGGAGACUGCCGUUGAUAAAGCGGAGGAAGGUGGGGACGACGUCAAGUCAUCAUGGCCCUUACGACCAGGGCUACACACGUGCUACAAUGGCGUAUACAAAGGGAAGCGAAGGUGCGAGCUGGAGCGGAUCUCAUAAAGUACGUCUAAGUUCGGAUUGGAGUCUGCAACUCGACUCCAUGAAGUCGGAAUCGCUAGUAAUCGUAGAUCAGAAUGCUACGGUGAAUACGUUCCCGGGCCUUGUACACACCGCCCGUCACACCAUGGGAGUGGGUUGCACCAGAAGUAGAUAGCUUAACCGCGAGGGGGGCGUUUACCACGGUGUGAUUCAUGACUGGGGUGAAGUCGUAACAAGGUAACCA
rnacentral:rRNA from 1 species